CUGACGGAGCAACGCCGCGUGAGUGAUGAAGGCCCUUGGGUCGUAAAGCUCUUUUGUCAGGGACGAUAAUGACGGUACCUGAUGAAUAAGCAUCGGCUAACUCUGUGCCAGCAGCCGCGGUAAUACAGAGGAUGCAAGCGUUAUCCGGAAUUAUUGGGCGUAAAGCGUCCGCAGGUGGCUAUUCAAGUCUGCUGUCAAAGCCCGGGGCUUAACCCCAGAAAGGCAGUGGAAACUGAAAAGCUAGAGGGCGGUAGGGGCAGAGGGAAUUCCCAGUGUAGCGGUGAAAUGCGUAGAGAUUGGGAAGAACACCGGUGGCGAAAGCGCUCUGCUGGGCCGCAACUGACACUCAGGGACGAAAGCUAGGGGAGCG
rnacentral:rRNA from 1 species